GGAGAGGUGGCCGAGUGGCUGAAGGCAGCCGCCUGCUAAGCGGUUAUACCAGCUAAAACUGGUAUCGCGGGUUCGAAUCCCGCCCUCUCCG
rnacentral:tRNA from 1 species